UUGGAGGGCAAGUCUGGUGCCGGCAGCCGCGGUAAUUCCAGCUCCAAUAGCGUAUAUUAAAGUUGUUGCAGUUAAAAAGCUCGUAGUUGAAUUUCGGGAUCAGACUGUCGGUCGUGCCUCGGUACGCACUGGUAUUAUUGGUUCCUACCUUCUGAAGAACCGCGAUGUCAUUAAUUUGGUGUCGUGGGGAAUCGGGACUGUUACUUUGAAAAAAUUAGAGUGUUUAAAGCAGGCUUACGCUUGAAUACAUUAGCAUGGAAUAAUGAAAUAGGACGUUUGAUUCUACUUUGUUGGUUUCUAGGAUUGACGUAAUGAUUAAUAGGGAUAGUUGGGGGCAUUAGUAUUCAAUUGUCAGAGGUGAAAUUCUUGGAUUUAUUGAAGACUAACUACUGCGAAAGCAUUUGCCAAGGAUGUUUUCAUUAAUCAAGAACGAAAGUUGGGGGAUCGAAGACGAUCAGAUACCGUCGUAAUCUUAACCAUAAACUAUGCCGACUAGGGAUCGGAUGAUGUUAAUUUUUUAAUGACUCAUUCGGCGCCUUACGGGAAACCAAAGUGUUUGGGUUC
rnacentral:rRNA from 1 species